rfam:Stegodyphus mimosarum contig93416, whole genome shotgun sequence.
GCGCUCGUGGUGUAGUGGUCAGCCCGCUGGGCGCGUAUCCCAGAGGUCUGGGGUUCGAGUCCCAGCGAAGACG